rnacentral:rRNA from 1 species
UUUAUGGAGAGUUUGAUCCUGGCUCAGAGUGAACGCUGGCGGCGUGCCUAAUACAUGCAAGUCGAACGAUGAAGCUUCUAGCUUGCUAGAAUGCUGAUUAGUGGCGCACGGGUGAGUAACGCAUAGGUCAUGUGCCUCUUAGUUUGGGAUAGCCAUUGGAAACGAUGAUUAAUACCAGAUACUCCCUACGGGGGAAAGAUUUAUCGCUAAGAGAUCAGCCUAUGUCCUAUCAGCUUGUUGGUAAGGUAAUGGCUUACCAAGGCUAUGACGGGUAUCCGGCCUGAGAGGGUGAACGGACACACUGGAACUGAGACACGGUCCAGACUCCUACGGGAGGCAGCAGUAGGGAAUAUUGCUCAAUGGGGGAAACCCUGAAGCAGCAACGCCGCGUGGAGGAUGAAGGUUUUAGGAUUGUAAACUCCUUUUGUUAGAGAAGAUAAUGACGGUAUCUAACGAAUAAGCACCGGCUAACUCCGUGCCAGCAGCCGCGGUAAUACGGAGGGUGCAAGCGUUACUCGGAAUCACUGGGCGUAAAGAGCGCGUAGGCGGGAUAGUCAGUCAGGUGUGAAAUCCUAUGGCUUAACCAUAGAACUGCAUUUGAAACUACUAUUCUAGAGUGUGGGAGAGGUAGGUGGAAUUCUUGGUGUAGGGGUAAAAUCCGUAGAGAUCAAGAGGAAUACUCAUUGCGAAGGCGACCUGCUGGAACAUUACUGACGCUGAUUGCGCGAAAGCGUGGGGAGCAAACAGGAUUAGAUACCCUGGUAGUCCACGCCCUAAACGAUGGAUGCUAGUUGUUGGAGGGCUUAGUCUCUCCAGUAAUGCAGCUAACGCAUUAAGCAUCCCGCCUGGGGAGUACGGUCGCAAGAUUAAAACUCAAAGGAAUAGACGGGGACCCGCACAAGCGGUGGAGCAUGUGGUUUAAUUCGAAGAUACACGAAGAACCUUACCUAGGCUUGACAUUGAGAGAAUCCGCUAGAAAUAGUGGAGUGUCUAGCUUGCUAGACCUUGAAAACAGGUGCUGCACGGCUGUCGUCAGCUCGUGUCGUGAGAUGUUGGGUUAAGUCCCGCAACGAGCGCAACCCCCUUUCUUAGUUGCUAACAGGUCAUGCUGAGAACUCUAAGGAUACUGCCUCCGUAAGGAGGAGGAAGGUGGGGACGACGUCAAGUCAUCAUGGCCCUUACGCCUAGGGCUACACACGUGCUACAAUGGGGUGCACAAAGAGAAGCAAUACUGCGAAGUGGAGCCAAUCUUCAAAACACCUCUCAGUUCGGAUUGUAGGCUGCAACUCGCCUGCAUGAAGCUGGAAUCGCUAGUAAUCGCAAAUCAGCCAUGUUGCGGUGAAUACGUUCCCGGGUCUUGUACUCACCGCCCGUCACACCAUGGGAGUUGUGUUUGCCUUAAGUCAGGAUGCUAAAUUGGCUACUGCCCACGGCACACACAGCGACUGGGGUGAAGUCGUAACAAGGUAACCGUAGGUGAACCUGCGGUUGGAUCACCUCCUUUCUAGA